AGGUUGUCCGUGUUGUCUUCUGU
rnacentral:miRNA from 15 species